UUAGGAAAAGGUACAGUAGCUUACGCGUUGAUUAUUGCCUAAUGUGGUUCAUAUUUAUGACAGCAUGACGAAGUUACAUAUUUACAAGUCCGAUGUUUUCAAGAAAAUGAAACUUAUCUAACUUACAAUUUCUUUUAUUUCUCAUCUCCACAGGACCAAACUGAGGAAGGUAGCGGCAAGACCAUGGAACAAAAGUUCCAAACUCGAAACAUUUUAGCCUUCUUACUGCCCUACUUGAUUAACAGACAUGUCGUAUCGCCCUCCGGUCAUCCUCUCUGCUCUUUCUCCACGUUCGCCUGUACGAAUUCUAAUCACGUCUGAGAUGGGUAUCACAAAAAUUUUGCCAUCACCAAUUUCACCAGUUCUUGCCUCCUCAAUUAUCUUGUCAAUGACAGCUUCAACCUGGUCUUUAACUACCACAAUUUCCAUCUUAACUUUAGCGACAAAGUUGUCUUCAGAAAAUUCAGACCCACCAUGCCUCUCUGUAGAUCCACCUUGAGAACCAAAGCCCUUCACGUCAGAUACCGUUACACCUCGAAUACCCAUUUUCAGCAAUGCCGAAGAAACAUUUUGGAUUCUCCAUGGCCUGAGGAUGGCCUCCACUUUGUAGAAUUUGGAAUCAGGAACAUAAUCGAGAGAGCCUUGGGCGGCCUUGACCAGAGGGAGGAUUUGGCGAUUGGAAGGCUUGUUGGCGAGGUUGAACUGAGAGAAUCUGAGGGCGGUGAAGUUGGGAGUGAUAAAAGCAGAAGAGGUGAAGUGAUGGAAGUGUGGAAGAGGAGAAUGAAGAGGAGGAAGAAGAAGAGCGGUAGGGUUCGUUGUGAUUGCCGCCAUGGAAGCUGGGAUUUGAGAAUCAGAGAGGAAGCAGAAUGACGAUGACGAGCCGAUCGGUAGCCUCGUAGUUCACGUUGGAAUUUCCGCUUCAAUCGCCGGCCGG
rnacentral:misc_RNA from 1 species